rnacentral:lncRNA from 13 species
AUGUACCAUUCGUUUUAAGCCUUUGUCAGGCUAUUGAUAGAAUUGUACAAUAGCCUACACAGAGCUGUGCCUUUGCAGUAGUUUCGUUAUAGUUUCAUAACAGAAAAAGUAACAUUCAUAUCAUUGAUAGGAGAUGAUGUAUUGCUUUGUGGUCAUUGUAGUUUAUAGUAUAGGCUACUGUUGUAAGCAACUUCAUAAGCGACUCAAAGACUCCUACUCUUACAUUAUGCUCCACUAGAAUGCAAUCUAUUCCAUUAAUAAAAUAUUUAUGAUUACAUGUAAAUGCUGGUGAUGAUAAACAGACUGAAUUGAUAGGCUAAUCAAGUCGAACACAUUUUAAGCAGAUCAAUUAGGCUAUAUGAAGCUCGUUAUAUUUUUCACAGUGUGACGUAGCAGUCUAGUCCCGGGGCGCGCUGAAAUAUGUGUCCCGUCCCCUCCCAAUAUCAAAGGCUCAGCCAGCCACGCCAAACCAUCGCUCCACCUAGUAGACUGUUGACUGGCACAGCACGCUUUCUGUCUCUCGCAGUCAGCUUCAGUUCCCCGCUUACUUCGCAUUGAGAAGGUGUGUCGAACAGACGUUGAAAGAAAGUAAGGUAAUAUCAAGUGUGUGAGAGAGAGAGAUCGACUUGUGUUGGUCGAAUUCGUUCUCCCAUCAUGGAGAUGCUUGGAGUGCCAUUUGCGCUGGUUUGGGUGGUUCUGGGGCUGUCCUGCAUUCUCGCUGGAAAAGUGUCCUGAUCACUCCCAGGUAGCCAGGUUACGAUGCCCAACGUUACAGCAGGGUGUCUUCUGGUCACAGGUUAGUGUCGGCAUCAUUCCGAGGGAAUGCUGUAAAAUGUUCCAUCCACCUCGCCGAUUCUGUGUCAUGGAUCUCAAUGUUUAAUUACCAGCCAGAAUGCUGACUGGGACUUUCAUUACACGAGGGCACGGUGAGGUCACGGUGCAGAUUUGCACACGCUCAGGUCCCUUCGCCAAUGCUCAACCUGGUUUUAUUAGAGACGGUUAAAAUGUGGAUUUAUUUAUUCUGCUGGAUAAAUAAUUUAGUUUAGAAAAACAAGAUACUAUUCCCAGCUGAAUGCUGUGUUUCUGUAUAUUGACUCUCUCUCUCUCUCUCUCUCUCUCAAUUCAAUUUCAAUUCAAGGAGCUUUAUUGGCAUGGGAAACGUGUUAACAUUGCCAAAGCAAGUGAGGUAGAUAAUAUAAAA